AUUGAACGCUGGCGGCAUGCCUCACACAUGCAAGUCGAACGGCAGCACGGGAGCAAUCCUGGUGGCGAGUGGCGAACGGGUGAGUAAUAUAUCGGAACGUGCCCAGUAGUGGGGGAUAACUGCUCGAAAGAGCAGCUAAUACCGCAUACGACCUGAGGGUGAAAGGGGGGGAUCGCAAGACCUCUCGCUAUUGGAGCGGCCGAUAUCAGAUUAGCUAGUUGGUGGGGUAAAGGCCUACCAAGGCAACGAUCUGUAGUUGGUCUGAGAGGACGACCAGCCACACUGGGACUGAGACACGGCCCAGACUCCUACGGGAGGCAGCAGUGGGGAAUUUUGGACAAUGGGCGCAAGCCUGAUCCAGCAAUGCCGCGUGCAGGAAGAAGGCCUUCGGGUUGUAAAGCGCUUUUGUCUGGGAGCAAAUCCUGGCCUCUAAUACAGGUCGGGGAUGAGAGUACCAGAAGAAUAAGGACCGGCUAACUACGUGCCAGCCGCCGCGGUAAUAC
rnacentral:rRNA from 1 species